rnacentral:rRNA from 1 species
UACGUAGGGUGCGAGCGUUGUCCGGAAUUAUUGGGCGUAAAGGGCUCGUAGGCGGUUUGUCGCGUCGGGAGUGAAAACCAGGUGCUUAACACCUGGCUUGCUUUCGAUACGGGCAGACUAGAGGUAUGCAGGGGAGAACGGAAUUCCUGGUGUAGCGGUGAAAUGCGCGGAUAUCAGGAGGAACACCGGUGGCGAAGGCGGUUCUCUGGGCAUGACCUGACGCUGAGGAGCGAAAGUGUGGGGAGCGAACAGG